GUCUUGUGACCCGGAAUCAUGGUGAUCUAAAAGAGCCCUGUGACUCUGGGAAAUUUGUUAUCAAAGGAUGUUAGCCACAAGUCCUGUUGGCAAAUGGACCCCAGGUGGCCUGCAGUGCCAAGCUGUUUCCCUGCCAGCCUCCCAGUCUGGCCCUGACUCUCCAAUUCAAUGAAGAGCCAUUGGAGGAUUUUAAAUAAGGAACCGAAAAAUGGAGUCUGAAAAUAGAGGCGCAGAGACCGGUUCUUCCCCAAACCAUCAUGGACCAGUUGGACUCUGAGAAGAAAAGUUUCUGAUCUUUAGUUCAUUCUUCCAACUCUCUAGAAAGCAGGAAAACUGAGAAUGAAAAAUUCUAAAUUACUCAGGACUCAUGGGUUGCCAAUAGAAGAAAUACAUCUUAAACUAGCUUAAGCCUGAAAGGGAAAUGUAUUUGUUCAUGUAACUGAACCAUAACGAAGGAUGGUGGACUGAGGGACCUGAAAACACCCUCAGGACUCCCUCCCUCUCCUUUGUGCUCCUGUCUGAUGCCGUCUUCCCAGACCUGCUCACUCUCCAUAAGGUGGGGAUGUGGCCAUCAGCAACGUGUACUUCCCCGAAGCUUGUGACCUGAGUAGAUAGGCAUCUCCCAACCCACAAGGAUUGAAAAGUUCCUCUAGGAAUUAUGUGGAUUGGCCCAUUCACUAUGACAUGUUCCCCCUAAGCAGCUAAAGGAACUGGGUCUGUUACCAGAAGAGGUGGGAGAGGGGUGCUAGGCAGAUUGAACAACAGCCACUACAACAUCUGAGGAGGAGACCUCCGUGAAGGCCACCAAGUCUGCUAGCAGAUAUUUCCUCCCUCGGAUCUCUCUCCCUGUCCUCACAGUCUCAUAAGUGAGGAUUAAAUACUACAUGUGGCCUAGGAGAUCUUAGACCCUCCACACGAAGAUAUAGUAACAAUCAACAUCCUAGUGUUCUGGCAGAGAAAAAAUCAGAAAGAAUCGUUUGCCUGAUUUUUCCAUCAAUACCAAUAAUUAAUUAGAGAUGAAAUUUGUGAUGGACUCAGAGAAUUAGAGAAGAUCUAAGGGAAUCUAGAUGAUUUCCUACCCCUAACCAGAGCCUCACAAAAAAGGGUGAAGAUCUAUGGCCGUCUUGCGUUUGGUGUGAGGCUGGACAAGGAAGUUCCUAAGGUCCUUUAGACUCUGUGAGAUCAUGAGUCCGUAAAACCCUUCCAACUUGAAAUUAGUUGAUUCCUUCCUUAAAUUUUCUGGGACAUUCCCCCACUCCCUCCACUCUUAUUAGCUGAUUUUACUGACCAAUAGGCCUUGAAGUUGGGCGUUCCAUCUAGAUGUCUCACAUCAACUCACCUUUUGCAAAUUAAGCCCAUACCCUUAAAGAGGGGAAUUCUCAAGCCAUUAGAAACUAGAGAGUCAGCUGGGCAUGGUGGCUCACGCCUGUAAUCCCAGAACUUUGGGAGGCCAAGGUGGGUGGAUCACUUGAGGUCAGGAGUUCGAGUCCAGCCUGACCAACAUGGCGAAACCCCGUCUCUACUAAAAAUACAAAAAUUAGCCAGGGGUGAUGGCAUGCACCUGUAAUCCCAGCUACUCAGGAGGCUGAGGCAGGAGAAUUGCUUGAACCUGGGAGGCGGAGGUUGCAGUGAGCCAAGUUUGCACCACAGCACUCCAGCCUGGGCAACAGAGUGAGACUCAGUUUCAAAAAACAAAAGAACAAACAAACAAAAACUAGAGGGUCUCCUCUUAGUUCUUAAACCCUCUUAGUCAACAUUUGUGAGCCUCUUUUCUGUAUGUUUUGGCAUCUUUAUUCCUUUCCUUCGUGUCUUGACCAAAUUCACCAGAUCAUGACUCAGAACAAAAUCCUGAGGUUGAAUAUAGAGGUCUAGAACAUCUUCAAAUUAACUGUUUCUCCUCAUAGAGAAUUAAAGAAAUUGAGAAAGCAAGAGAGAGUGUGUGGAGUUUUUGUCCUCAUUUUCCUCUUUCCUGUAGUAGGUAGAAUAAUGGCUGCCCAGAGAUACUCACAUCCUAAUCCCUGGAACCCAUGAAUAUGUAAUGUUGUAUGGCCAAAGGGGAAUUGAGAUUGCUAUUACAAUGACUUAAAAUGGGAGAUUAUCCUGGAUUAUCCAGAUGGGCCCAAUGUAAUCACAAGGGUCUUUAAAAAUAGAAGGAGGAGGCAGAAGAUUAGGUCAGUCCAUGAGACAAUGUGAGAAAAGCUCAGCCUGACAUUGCUGGCCUGGGAGAUGGAAGAAGGAGCCACAAGGGGUACCAGCAGCCUGUAGAAAGUAGAGAAGGUAGAAACACAGAUUCUUCCCUGGGGCCCCCAGAAAGGAACACAGCACUGUCAACACUUUGAAUUCAGCCUGGUAAGACCCAUGUUAGACUUCUGACCUACAGACUGCAAGAUAAUAAAUCUGUCUUGUGUAAGCCACUAAAUCUAUGGUUAUCUGUCACAAGCACAAUAGGAAAUUAAUACACUUUCUAUUUGUUUUACGUGUGUCCUGAAAUGUUAGGUUCCUUAGGAUUCCAACUGCUGAACUAUAUGGAGACAGGAUAGUUUAGUUAAAAGAAAAAUCUUAGACAAAUUAAAUUUAACAGAGUUUACUUGAGCAAAGAAUAAUUCAUGACUUGGUAGCCCCAGAACCAGAAUAGGUUCAGAGGGACUCUGUUGCUGCCACGGUGACAAAGAAGAUUUAUGGACAGAAAAAGGAAAGUGAUGCACAGAAAACAGAAUUGAGGUACAGAAACAGCCAGAUUGAUCACAGCUCAGUGUUUACCUUAUUGAACACCAUUUAAACAGUUGGACGGCCUUGACUGGCCAAAACUUGAUGAUUGGCACAACAGCAAGUUACAGUCUGUUCACACAUCCAUUAGGUUACAGCUCACUAUGUAUGAAGAAACCUUUAGGAUGAACUUAAAAUAUAUAAGGAGGGAGCUUUAGGCUAAACUUAACAGUGGACAAGAUUUGACUCUGCUACUACGUCACCUUGUGGUUUUGGGUAAAUCAGUUUCUCUGGUUCUCAGUUUCCAUAUCUGCAAAACAAGGUCGUUUUAUUAAAUGAUCCCCAAAGCCUCUCCCCCUUUAAGUUUAGACAUUCAGUAUACUCUCCGUCUUCUUAAUGGUGUCAAAUGCUCUGGAAGCCCCAGCAAACACCUGAGCUGCCCCUGUCAUCAUCCACAGCAGAGCACGGACAGGGAAAGAAUGUCCACAGGUUCCAGCUCUCUCAGGACUUGUCCACGGCGAGUGAGGCCACAGGAGGUCAGGGCAGGCACAGCAGCUGCCAGUUCUCUCCACUCAGGAAGAACAUACCCAGUGCUAAGGAAGAAACACUGUGGGGACAGAGGUGCUAGAGAAUUCUAA
rnacentral:lncRNA from 1 species